CAGUUGGCACUAGUGCAGACAAAUAACAACAGUGGCAUGGAACCGGAGAUAGGUUCGCCAGAUGUAGAAGAUGAAGAAUUUGAUGAUGAAGCAGUGUAUGUACUUGAACCUGAUCCCGGGAAGAGGAUUCCCAUCAUAAACUAUGACGUCAAUGAUCAAGACUUGGUGAGAAGGAGAUACAUUGCAAUGGGGGCUUGUCAACCAAAGAAACAUCAAUUCAAAGUAACAAAAGAUAAAACUAAACAUAAAGGUGGUGAUGCUUUUGUGAAAGGAGGGUUCAGAAAUUGGAACAUGAUGAAAAAUAGGUGUGAAAAACAUUCUGGUUCUCUCACUAGUGCUCAUUGUGAAGCUCAAGAGAAAUAUGAUUUGUUCAUUAAGCCCGAUGCAUCAAUUAGGCAGUCUAUGGCUUCAACUUCCAAACAAGCCAAGGCUCGAUAUAUUUCUCGACUAGGUUAUUCUAUUUACUGUCUCAGAUUUCUUUUGAAGCAAGGCUUG
rnacentral:rRNA from 1 species